UACGGGGGGGUAAGCGUUGUUCGGAAUUACUGGCGUAAAGGGCUCGUAGGCGGCCAACUAAGUCAUACGUGAAAUCCCUCAGCUUAACUGGGGAACUGCGUGUGAUACUGGAUGGCUUGGAUUUGGGAGAGGGAUGCGGAAUUCCAGGUGUAGCGGUGAAAUGCGUAGAUAUCUGGAGGAACACCGGUGGCGAAGGCGGCAUCCUGGACCGGCAUUGACGCUGAGGCGCGAAAGCUAGGGGAGCAAACGGG
rnacentral:rRNA from 1 species